rnacentral:rRNA from 1 species
AUUGAACGCUGGCGGCAGGCCUAACACAUGCAAGUCGAGCGAGCGGCGGAAGGGUGAGUAAUGUCUGGGAAACUGCCUGAUGGAGGGGGAUAACUACUGGAAACGGUAGCUAAUACCGCAUACCAUCAGAGGUGCCCAGAUGGGAUUAGCUAGUCGGUGGGGGAACGGCUCACCUAGGCGACGAUCCCUAGCUGGUCUGAGAGGAUGACCAGCCACACUGGAACUGAGACCCGGUCCAGACUCCUACGGGAGGCAGCAGUGGGGAAUAUUGCACAAUGGGCGCAAGCCUGAUUCAGCCAUGCCGCGUGUAUGAAGAAGGCCUUCGGGUUGUAAAGUACUUUCAGCGGGGAGGCGUUACCCGCAGAAGAAGCACCGGCUAACUCCGUGCCAGCAGCCGCGGUAAUAC